rnacentral:rRNA from 1 species
UGGGGAAUAUUGGGCAAUGGGCGCAAGCCUGACCCAGCAACGCCGCGUGAAGGAAGAAGGCUUUCGGGUUGUAAACUUCUUUGACAGGGGAAGAUAAUGACGGUACCCUGAAAACAAGCUCCGGCUAACUACGUGCCAGCAGCCGCGGUGAUACGUAGGGAGCAAGCGUUAUCCGGAAUUACUGGGUGUAAAGGGCGCGUAGGCGGGUCUGCAAGUCAGAUGUGAAAUGCCGGGCUAACCUCGGAGCUGCAUUUGAAACUGUAGGUCUUGAGUGAUGGAGAGGCAGGCGGAAUUCCCGGUGUAGCGGUGGAAUGCGUAGAUAUCGGGAGGAACACCAGUGGCGAAGGCGGCCUGCUGGACAUUAACUGACGCUGAGGCGCGAAAGCGUGGGGAGCAAACAGGAUUAGAUACC